rnacentral:rRNA from 1 species
GGGCCCGCACAAGCGGUGGAGUAUGUGGUUUAAUUCGAUGCAACGCGAAGAACCUUACCAGGGUUUGACAUCCUGCGAAUCUCUUGGAAACAGGAGAGUGCCUUCGGGAACGCAAUGACAGGUGGUGCAUGGCUGUCGUCAGCUCGUGUCGUGAGAUGUUGGGUUAAGUCCCGCAACGAGCGCAACCCACGUCUUUAGUUGCCAGCAUUUAGUUGGGCACUCUAGCGAGACCGCCGGUGAUAAACCGGAGGAAGGUGUGGAUGACGUCAAGUCAUCAUGCCCCUUACAUCCUGGGCUACACGCAUGCUACAAUGGCCGGUACAGAGGGCUGCAAUACCGCAAGGUGGAGCGAAUCCCAAAAAGCCGGUCUCAGUUCGGAUUGGAGUCUGCAACUCGACUCCAUG